rnacentral:rRNA from 1 species
GUAGUCAUAUGCUUGUCUCAAAGAUUAAGCCAUGCAUGUCUAAGUAUAAGCAAUCUAUACUGUGAAACUGCGAAUGGCUCAUUAAAUCAGUUAUCGCUUAUUUGAUAGUACCUUACUACUUGGAUAACCGUGGUAAUUCUAGAGCUAAUACAUGCUAAAAACCUCGACUUCGGAAGGGGUGUAUUUAUUAGAUAAAAAACCAAUGCCCUUCGGGGCUCCCUGGUGAUCCAUAAUAACUUUUCGAAUCGCAUGGCCUUGCGCCGGCGAUGGUUCAUUCAAAUUUCUGCCCUAUCAACUUUCGAUGGCAGGGUCUUGGCCUGCCAUGGUUACAACGGGUAACGGGGAAUGA